GUGAAAAACCCGUUCGCUGAAAGACCAAGGGUUCCAGUCCAACGUUAAUCGGGGCUGGGUGAGUCGACCCCUAAGGCGAGGCCGAGAGGCGUAGUCGAUGGGAAAUUGGUUAAUAUUCCAAUACUUCAGUGUAAUGCGAUGAGAGGACGGAGAAGGUUAAGUCAGCCUGGCGUUGGUAGUCCAGGUGAAAGGAAGUAGGCAUGCAUCUUAGGCAAAUCCGGGGUGCUCUAUGCUGAGAUCUGAUAUCAAGCUGUACUUGUACAGUGAAGUGGCUGAUACCCUGCUUCCAGGAAAAGUCUCUAAGCUUCAGUUACACUGGAAUCGUACCCGAAACCGACACAGGUGGUCAGGUCGAGUAGACCAAAGCGCUUGAGAGAACUCUGCUGAAGGAACUAGGCAAAAUGGUACCGUAACUUCGGGAGAAGGUACGCUGUUGAUGGUGAUAGGACUUGCUCCUUGAGCUGUCGACAGCCUCAGAAACCAGGCCGCUGCAACUGUUUAUUAAAAACAUAGCACUCUGCAAACACGAAAGUGGACGUAUAGGGUGUGAUGCCUGCCCGGUGCUGGAAGGUUAAUUGAUGGGGUUAGCGUAAGCGAAGCUCUUGAUCGAAGCCCCAGUAAACGGCGGCCGUAACUAUAACGGUCCUAAGGUAGCGAAAUUCCUUGUCGGGUAAGUUCCGACCUGCACGAAUGGCAUAAUGAUGGCGGCGCUGUCUCCAGCAGAGGCUCAGUGAAAUCGAAUUCGCCGUGAAGAUGCGGUGUACCCGCGGCUAGACGGAAAGACCCCGUGAACCUUUACUGCAGCUUGACAUUGAACUUUGACCUUACUUGUGUAGGAUAGGUGGGAGGCUUUGAAACUUGGACGCUAGUCCGAGUGGAGCCGUCCUUGAAAUACCACCCUGGUAAUGUUGAGGUUCUAACUCUGUCCCGUUAUCCGGGACGAGGACCAUGUCUGGUGGGUAGUUUGACUGGGGCGGUCUCCUCCUAAAGAGUAACGGAGGAGUACGAAGGUGCGCUCAGCGUGGUCGGAAAUCACGCGUAGAGUAUAAAGGCAAAAGCGCGCUUAACUGCGAGACCCACAAGUCGAGCAGGUACGAAAGUAGGUCUUAGUGAUCCGGUGGUUCUGUAUGGAAGGGCCAUCGCUCAACGGAUAAAAGGUACUCUGGGGAUAACAGGCUGAUACCGCCCAAGAGUUCAUAUCGACGGCGGUGUUUGGCACCUCGAUGUCGGCUCA
rnacentral:rRNA from 1 species